rnacentral:rRNA from 1 species
CACGUAGGGUGCGAGCGUUGUCCGGAAUUAUUGGGCGUAAAGAGCUCGUAGGCGGUGUGUCGCGUCGGCCGUGAAAACCUGCAGCUUAACUGUGGGCUUGCGGUCGAUACGGGCAUCACUGGAGUUCGGCAGGGGAGACUGGAAUUCCUGGUGUAGCGGUGAAAUGCGCAGAUAUCAGGAGGAACACCGGUGGCGAAGGCGGUUCUCUGGGCAUGAUCUGACGCUGAGGAGCGAAAGUGUGGGGAGCGAACAGG